GAGUUUGAUCCUGGCUCAGGAUGAACGCUAGCGGCAGGCUUAACACAUGCAAGUCGAGGGGUAGUAUAGCAAUAUAUGAGACCGGCGCACGGGUGCGUAACGCGUAUGCGAUCUACCUUUUACAGGGGAAUAGCCCAGGGAAAUUUGGAUUAAUGCCCCAUGGUAUAAUUGAUUGGCAUCAAUUAAUUAUUAAAGUUCCAACGGUAAAAGAUGAGCAUGCGUCCCAUUAGCUAGUUGGUAUGGUAACGGCAUACCAAGGCGAUGAUGGGUAGGGGUCCUGAGAGGGAGAUCCCCCACACUGGUACUGAGACACGGACCAGACUCCUACGGGAGGCAGCAGUGAGGAAUAUUGGACAAUGGGCGCAAGCCUGAUCCAGCCAUGCCGCGUGCAGGAAGAAGCAUCUAUGGUGUGUAAACUGCUUUUAUACAGGAAGAAACACUCCCUCGUGAGGGAGCUUGACGGUACUGUAAGAAUAAGGACCGGCUAACUCCGUGCCAGCAGCCGCGGUAAUACGGAGGGUCCAAGCGUUAUCCGGAAUCAUUGGGUUUAAAGGGUCCGUAGGCGGUUUAAUAAGUCAGUGGUGAAAGCCCAUUGCUCAACGAUGGAACGGCCAUUGAUACUGUUAGACUUGAAUUAUUAGGAAGUAACUAGAAUAUGUAGUGUAGCGGUGAAAUGCUUAGAUAUUACAUGGAAUACCCAUUGCGAAGCAGGUUACUACUAAUGGAUGACGCUGA
rnacentral:rRNA from 1 species